UACGGAGAGUUUGAUCCUGGCUCAGGACGAACGCUGGCGGCGUGCUUAACACAUGCAAGUCGAACGAUGAAGCCGGAGCUUGCUCUGGUGGAUUAGUGGCGAACGGGUGAGUAACACGUGAGUAACCUGCCCCAGACUCUGGGAUAAGCGUUGGAAACGACGUCUAAUACCGGAUACGAGCUGCGAUCGCAUGAUCAGCAGCUGGAAAGAAUUUCGGUCUGGGAUGGACUCGCGGCCUAUCAGCUAGUUGGUGAGGUAACGGCCCACCAAGGCGACGACGGGUAGCCGGCCUGAGAGGGUGACCGGCCACACUGGGACUGAGACACGGCCCAGACUCCUA
rnacentral:rRNA from 14 species